rnacentral:tRNA from 1 species
AGUCGUAUGGUCUAAUGGUUAUGAUUUCUCGUUCACAGUCCAUGUGUACAUUGUCCCGAGAAGGUUCCGUGUUCGAUCCACGGUACGACUA